GGUAAUAGAACAUAACAAAGUAAUAGACAAGGUUUCAG
rnacentral:sRNA from 1 species